UCGCUGGAGUCGGCUUGGUGGUUCUGCGCCUCACCCUCCCUAUCUGAGCUUCAGAACCAGAGCACAAACAGACAAACAACAAGUGUUGCCCAAAUUGGGGCUCCUGUAUAUCAGGAACAUACUGAAGCGUCGGGUGAGAACUCAGAUGCUCAGAGAAGGUAAAAAGUUUUUCUAAGUCUCCAAAACCAUGACUGUGACCUGAUGUUGUCUACUGUGAUUUCUACGUAGUCUGAUGAUCAACUUUACCCAUGCUGACCCCAAUACAGAACUCCUUGAAAUCAUUGGAAACAGAUUGACCUUACCUGUUUCUUGGAUUGUUGAUAAAAGAUAUGGAAUGAAACUUGCCCUCCAUUCCUGGAAGAUGCCUUUGCCACUGACUGUCACCAGAGGAAGAAGUGAAAGGGUACUCCUACCCCUCUUUCCCUCAAAACUUGAAAAGAUGGUGGUGCAUUGGAGGAUACUUUGCUCUGACCCACACAAUUAUUUGUGGAUCCAGGCCCACAGAGACUAUCUUCAACACGUAGCUUCUAAGGGUACACUGGAUGUCAUCCUCUACACCUGGA